ACACACCUGAGAGGUGUCACCGGCUCCAGUCUCACCUCCACCUGCCUGAGAAGGGAAACGUCUCCUCACAGCAACACAGAAAAUCACAGACAUGGACAAACUGGCCGGGAUUGUCGGGAAAAAAGUGGGAGAUGCGGUGGAGGGUGCGGUGAAGGGCGCUCUGCAUUUAGGGAACAAAGACAAAGACAAGAAUAAGAAGAAAGGUGGAGGAGGAAUCUUCUCACGGACAGGAGGCGACAAGGACAAAAAGAAGGAGGUGGACAAGGGCGAAGACAAAGGAGGACUCUUCAACAGAGAGGACGAAUAUGAGAAGGAGCGGAAGUCCGGAUUCAAGGGUCUCUUCACUGAAGGGCCGCUCCCUGAAGCUGGCGGUGGUGGCGGAGCAGCGAUGGAAGGAGAAGCUGAAGAAAAACCACAAAGUGCUUCUGCCAACGAUGGAGAUUUGCUGGAUGAUCUUUUCGAAUUGGCUGAAGAAACAUCUCAAGGAAACUAAAACAGGAAGCUGUAAAGCACAACCCGACCCCCGAGGAAACAACUCCCACUCCUGAAUAAAGACUAAAAAAAAAAUCCACUUUUUUGUCCGUCUUUUCAGAAACGCACAGCUUCAGGCAGAUAACUCGUAAGCUGGAAAGGAAAUGGCGUGCCACAAACCAUUAGAGGAAAAAUGACCAAUAAUCAUCCCACAGAUGUAAUAUUAUCUACAGCUACUCUUAGUACCAUUGAUGUUAAGUUAGACUCUUUUUCUCCAAUUGAUCUUUCUGAGUUCACUUCAAUAAUUACUUCCUCCAAACCAUCAACGUGUCUUUUAGACCCCAUUCCUACAAAACUGCUCAAAGAAGUCCUGCCAUUAAUUAAUGCUUCAAUCUUAAAUAUGAUCAACCUAUCUCUAAUGAUCAGCAUUUAAUCAUCUGUUAUUAUUAGAGCUGUCAGCAUUAACAUGGAUCAAUCCAACCAAUCACAGCAGAUGGCCCCGCCCCUCCCCGAGCCUGGUUCUGCUGGAGGUUUCUUCCUGCUAAAAGGGAGUUUUUCCUUCCCACUGUCGCCAGAGUGCUGCUCACAGGGGGUCAUAUGAUUGUUGGGUAAUAAAAACUAAAAUGCUUGAACAUGGACUUUAAAUACAUUCAUUUAUUGUUUCUGGUUUGGUUGUCCUUUAAUAUUGAAUAAAUUAAAUGAAUAAAUUAGUUAUGUGGAAUUAUUACUCUGGUCAAACAGAGUCUCUGAGGUAGCUCAUCACACACAUAAAUAAUCCAUUUCUAUGAACUGAUCUAAAUGUGAGGAGAAAAUACCUGAAACGUUGCACAGGUUUGGUAUGACAGUCUACCUGUGACACAGGUGACCAAUCAAUGACCUUUCUGUGACCUGAUGGGGGGUCGUGAAUAUAUGUAAUACAUGAAUACAUAAAUUAGAUGUAUAACAAAAAAAUAAUUAUAAAAUAUGUAA